rnacentral:rRNA from 1 species
CCACGGAGGGUGCAAGCGUUACUCGGAAUCACUGGGCGUAAAGCGCGCGCAGGCGGCUUGAUAAGUUGGAUGUGAAAGCCUACGGCUCAACCGUAGAACUGCAUCCAAAACUGUCAGGCUAGAGUGUGGGAGAGGAAGAUGGAAUUAGUUGUGUAGGGGUAAAAUCCGUAGAGAUAACUAGGAAUACCAAAUGCGAAGGCAAUCUUCUGGAACACUACUGACGCUGAGGCGCGAAGGCGAGGGGAGCAAACAGGAUUAGAAACCCCGGUAGUCC